rnacentral:tRNA from 1 species
AAGAAACUUAGGAUGACCCAAACCGAAGGCCUUCAAAGCCUUAAACAAGAGUUAAACCCUCUUAGUUUCUG